rnacentral:lncRNA from 1 species
CGGCCGCUCCUGGUGCUGCUGCCGCCGCCGCGGCUGCUUCUCCGGCUGAGCGCGCCCCGGAACAGGCCGCCGCGCUCCGGACCCGCAGCCCCCGGCGCCGCGCGUUCGGGCGGCCCAGGUGCAGAGGACGUGGUGAUGGCGUUUUCCAGAUCGGAGACGGAAGACCGGAGGCAGUAGCUGGAAGCCCCUGGCAACCCCUGGAAGCUACCGAUGGCCAAGAGAUCUGUAUGGCUCCUCUGCCGGUCGAGUGGCAGCAAACCACCGUCUUCUUACCCCUUGCUCCCCUCACCCCAUCCAACCCUCCCCAGCCAGCCACUCAGCAGGGCUGGCAUCAAGGUGGUUUGUGAUUGGCUUGAAGGGAUGGACUUGUGAUUGGCUGCAGAAAGAAACCUUUUUAUUUUUAAACCUUGACCAACGGAAACCUUUUAUUUUUAUUUCUGACUCUUUAUUUUUUUAAAAGUUUGCGCCUCGGUAUCUGGCUUCCCUGGAAGCUGUCCGAGCUCUGGUGCUUUAUUUAGGUCAUUUUUAGGAAUGUGAAGAGGCCCAAUUGGCUGCUUAAACUGGAAAAAGGUUGUGAUUGGCUGGCUAGUGGGACAUGGUCUUUUCUUUGAUUGGCUGCGGGUGUUCUGCUCACAUCAUCAACUUCCUCUGUUCUGAAUGCAGAAAACAGGGUUUGGGAUAUUGAUUGUUAUAGUUGACUUGAAAAAAA